AUGGCAACUGGGGAUGUUAUUAGAAAGUGCUAUCUUUAUCAAAGAACUGAGACUAGGUCUUCUGUAUACAUUUUUUUUCACAUGUGUAUUUAUAGACAAAUCUCUGGAAUUGCAUUAUUUUGCAGCUUCAAAGAACCCCCCCUUUUGCUUGGUGUUCUACAUCCAAAUACGAAGUUGCAACAGGCAGAAAGGCUGUUUGAAAAUCAGCUUAUUGGACCGGAGUCCAUAGCACAUAUUGGGGAUGUGAUGUUUACUGGGACAGCAGAUGGCCAGGUCGUAAAACUUGAAAAUGGCGAAAUAGAGACUAUUGCCCGGUUUGGUUCAGGCCCAUGCAGUAAGUUGGUGGUAAUCCCCUGACAUGUAUCUCUUCCAGUCUUUAAGAAAGAUGUCGGAUUGCUCUGUGGAACUGCUUUUCCCUAGAAUGCUUGUGGGGGAGAAAGACACUCUGACCAUCUAGCAGAAGGAACGUGACGUCACCAUGAGCUCUUCAUUUGCCUGGUAGACCCUGAGCCUCAUGGUGCCUGAUGGUCACCUGUAGUCCCCAUUUUGCAGCUGGGCCAUGGCCGUGGCCCCUGCUUGGUACUGUGUGGGCCUCACCCCUCACCAUUUUACCGGGGUCCCUGUUUAUCUUUGCGGUAGUUCAGAGGCCAAUAGGUGUUGUCAGCGUGCUGCUGUAGAAAAGCAGGUGACCUUGUCAUUACUUGGAUGUGUAACUGUUAUUCUGCCUUGGUCACAGCAAUUUCAGCCCUAUCAUUCAAAGUGAGAAUACCCUUAAGUCACUCAGAUUUUGGAGAAGUAGAGUAGAAGACUCACUGUUUAAAACUGAUAGUCUAUAGACUUAAUAGUGCCAUUUUUUAAUAGUUGGAAUGUUUUUAUCAAAAUGAUGCAUUUUAAUAAACACAACACAAAGGUACAAAGAAGAAAAUAAAGAUCACCUGCAUCUUUUCAGAUGUAAUUGUUUUGAACAUUUUAGUGAAUGUCUUUUCAGGCAUCUUUCUGUUCAUGGACAUCCACACCCACACACAGUUUUAUAUGAUGGAAUUACACUCUACAUCUGUUCUUUAACCUGCCUUUUUUUGUGCCAUAUUGUCAGUAAGCACCGUACAGUGAGCAUCUCAUAGUGAACACCCUGCAAUAAGCAUUUGCAGUGAGCACCCAUGGUGAGCACCUACAAUAGCACCUGGAAUGAGCACCCAUGGUGAGCACCCCACGGUGAACAUCCUGCAAUAAACACCUGUAGUGAGCACCCCACAGUGAACAUCCUGCAAUAAACACCUGUAGUGAGCACCCCGCAGUGAACACCCUACAAUAACCACCUGCAGUGAGCACCCUGCAGUGAACACCCUGCAAUAACCACUUGCAGUGAGCACCCUGCAGUGAACCCCCUGCAAUAAGCACCUGCAGUGGGCACCCUGCAGUGAACACCCUGCAAUAAGCACCUGCAGUGGGCACCCUGCAGUGAACACCCUGCAAUAAGAACCUGCAGUGGGCACCCUGCAGUGAACAUGCUGCAAUAAACACCUGCAGUGAGCACCCCACAGUGAACACCCUGCAAUAAGCACCUGCAGUGAGCACCCUGCAGUGAACAUCCUGCAAUAAACACCUAUAGUGAGCAUCCCGCAGUGAACACCCUACAAUAACCACCUGCAGUGAGCACCCUGCAGUGAACCCCCUGCAAUAAGCACCUGCAGUGGGCACCCUGCAGUGAACACCCUGCAAUAAGCACCUGCAGUGGGCACCUUGCAGUGAACAUGCUGCAAUNNNNNNNNNNNNNNNNNNNNNNNNNCAAUAAGCACCUGCAGUGGGCACCCUGCAGUGAACACCCUGCAAUAAGCACCUGCAGUGGGCACCCUGCAGUGAACAUGCUGCAAUAAACACCUGCAGUGAGCACCCCACAGUGAACAUGCUGCAAUAAGCACCUGCAGUGAGCACCCUGCAGUGAACAUCCUGCAAUAAACACCUGUAGUGAGCAUCCCACAGUGAACACCCUACAAUAACCACCUGCAGUGAGCACCCUGCAGUGAACCCCCUGCAAUAAGC
rnacentral:lncRNA from 1 species